UUAGAUUCACGCACAAACUCC
rnacentral:siRNA from 1 species